rnacentral:lncRNA from 1 species
CUAUAAUCAGAUGGUCUCUCACUGGGCACAGACUCGUUUGCUCUUCCUUGGGUAGGGGUGGGUUCACAUCCCAGUCUCUCCCCCACCUCACAGGGAUGGCCUCAGGCAGGUGACCUUGGUCAGCGUUCCUUAACCGUAUUGUGAUCAGUGGCAUGUGGCAGGCCAUUUGUAAUGAUGUAAUGAGGUAGGGGAAAGUGCUUCUAGGAGAUAAGGCCGCAGCUGGGAGCUGGCUGGCCUGCGAGGGUGCAGACACCCUUCCUGGGGAAACACUGCAUCUUUAUCAAGGAAAACUCCCCCAUGGGCCUGUUUGGUCAGGCAGUGCCUCUGGGCAGGACCGGGAGGAGUUCAGACAGCUAAGAGUCAAAUGGCCUUACCUCUAAAGGGAGUUCAGAGCUGUUCAUGGGCACUAUGGAAGAGGAGAAAGACCCAGAGGGAGACCCGCUGCAGCCAAGGAGGCUGCAUAGAGGCAGUCGAAGUCGGAGUCACACACUCAAAGGCAGGAGAUGAUGCAGGUGUGAAUGCCGGUUCUCCCCUUGGUCUGUCUGCAACACCAGCUCCCGUGCCUGGAUCACACCGCGGAUGCACACGCUUGAAGAUCAUGUGCCACAGAAGCUCGUUUGCCUACCCUUUCACCAACUCUGGUCCAUGCACUCAGCAGCCUUCAGGCCACCCUUGAACGUUCCACAGAGCCUCCACAGACAGGGGAGUCCCUGAUAGUAAAAAUACGUCGUGGGCCAGACAACCUCCAAAACAAAGCAAAGCCACGGCCUCGAGUCCUCUGCCUCUGUUACCACCGCUUGCAGCCUUUUCUGGCUUCCAGCUACAGGUCCUCCCUUGUCCCCACCUCUCCCCCACCUACUGCUCACAGUCCCGGCAUCCACAUGGGCUUUGUCCCUCGACUCCACCCCUGGUCCUAGACUGAAUCUGAUGUCCACUCCCACUCCCAGCCCCAGCCCCACAGGGUCCCUACUGGGUCUCAUCACAGCCUGGACACGACCUAGUGGGACUGGCUGUUCCUGUUAAGGUAAAAUUCACAACACUUUGUAAAUUUCCAGCACUUGCACCAUCCCCCAUAGCUUCAGCACAGAUCAGUGCUUUUGUGUCUUUGGCAAGUUUAUUCGAUUGUUUGAAAAUGUUGAUUAACAAUGCAGGAUCAGUCGGGCACAGUGGUUCACCCUUGUAAACUCAGCACGCACUUUGGGAGGCCAAGGCAGGAGGAUCUCUUGAGCCCAGGAGUUCAAGACCAGGCUGGGAAACAUACUGAAAACCUGUUUCUACAAAAAUAUAUAUAUAUAUAUAUGAAAAUGAGCCAGAUGUGGUGGUGUGUGUUUAUAGUCCCAGCUACUGGAGAUGGAGGAUGCUGAGAGGGGAGGAUUGCUUGAGCCCAGAGGUUGAGGCUGCAGUGAGCUGAGAUCACACCACUGCACUCCAGCCUGAACGACAGAGGAAGACCUUGUCUCAAAACAAAAACAAAUGAAAAAACAGUGCAGAACCCUGUGGCACAUCACUAGAGACCUCUCCAAAGGCUGAUCUCCUGGGAGGAAAUGGCAGAGGUUCUGGAGCCCUGGGAAGUGGAGUGUUGUUGGGCAAGUCCUUCCGCUUCUCUGAGGCUCAGUUCCCUGGUUUAUAAGACGUGAAUAAGAAUUACGCUUAGUAUCAAUAAAGCUAAACUAUCUAUCUAUCCUGUGACCUGACAGUUUCACUUCCAAGUAUCAUCACCACAGAAAUGCACACAGGUGUCCAUCAAAGCACAGUUCUAGAAUGUUCACGGCAGGACUAUUCAUAACAGUAGCAACG